rnacentral:rRNA from 2 species
AGAUCUAAUCCAGAGUACCACGAGACACGUGAAACCUUGUGGGAAGCAGGGAGGACCACCUCCCAAGGCUAAAUACUACCUAGUGACCGAUAGUGAAGCAGUACCGUGAGGGAAAGGGGAAAAGAACCCCGGAAGGGGAGUGAAAUAGAACCUGAAACCGUGUGCCUACAACCGAUCGGAGCACGUUAAAGUGUGACGAUGUGCUUUUUGUAGAACGAGCCAGCGAGUUACGCUAUGUAGCAAGG